AUCAACAUUUCCUCAAAAUAAAUAGAAAGAUGCUUGUUUAUUUCAAUAGUUAUAAGCGGUUGUGAUUUUUUUAUAAUUUUAUUGAUAUGUAUUGUUUUAUUCUAGAUGAGAGAAGUGCAGAGGAAAUCAUCAUCUCUCUUGGCAGUAAAAGAGGAGAUAAAGAACAGUAGCAAAUAUGCUGCUAGGCCAUUGACCAGCAGUUGGGUACUAUGGAAGGAGAAGCUCUUAUUGACCUGUAAAAUGAAAACAGGACAUUUUCAUAUUGUUUUGUUGUAGGGAUGGGGUACAAGUAGAAGAUUGGUCAAUAUUAUGUACAUGUACCUUGAUAUGAAUUUAUUUUUGAUUGUGUUCAAUGAUAAACUGGAAAUAAAUGAUAACAUAAAUU